UACGUAGGGAGCAAGCGUUGUUCGGAUUUACUGGGCGUAAAGGGCGCGUAGGCGGCCUGUCAAGUCAACUGUGAAAUCUCCGGGCUUAACUCGGAACGGUCAGUUGAUACUGUCAGGCUAGAGUGCAGAAAGGGCAAUCGGAAUUCUUGGUGUAGCGGUGAAAUGCGUAGAUAUCAAGAGGAACACCUGAGGCGAAGGCGGGUUGCUAGGCUGACACUGACGCUGAGGCGCGAAAGCCAGGGGAGCAAACAGG
rnacentral:rRNA from 1 species